GAUGAACGCUGGCGGCGUGCCUAAUACAUGCAAGUCGAGCGGACGGGCGCGAAGCUUGCUUCACUGAAGUUGCCGACGGAUGGGUGAGUAACAGGUGGUUAACCUUCCUCUUAGACUUGGAUAUCUUCGAGUAACUGUAGCUCAUGACGGGUAAUAUUUUGAACCGCAUGGUUCAAAAGUGUAUGCCGGUCUUGCUGUCACUUCUAGAUAGCUCCGCGCUGCAUUAGCUAGUUCGUAAGGUAACGGCUUACCAAGGCCACGAUGCAUAGCCGACCUGAGAGGGUGAGCGGCCACACUGGAACUGAGACACGGUCCAGACUCCUACGGGAGGCAGCAGUAGGGAAUCUUCCGCAAUGGGCGAAAGCCUGACGGAGCAACGCCGCGUGAGUGAUGAAGGGCUUCGGAUCGUAAAACUCUGUUAUUAGGGAAGAACAUAUGUGUAAGUAACUGUGCACAUCUUGACGGUACCUAAUCAGAAAGCCACGGCUAACUACGUG
rnacentral:rRNA from 1 species